rnacentral:tRNA from 1 species
CACGGGGUAGAUUAAUUAGAAUUAAGGCUUUGAGAGCCGUUGGAGAGGGUGAUGGUAGUCUCUACCCUGA